rnacentral:tRNA from 3 species
GGACGCGUAGCUCAGCUGGUUAGAGCGCUACGUUGACAUCGUAGAGGUCCCCUGUUCAAGUCAGGGCGCGUCCA